rnacentral:lncRNA from 1 species
AUCUAAGCACGCUGGGCCAGACAUCCCGCAGUUUUCAUGCUAGCCCGCCACAGCAUCGCGUCGUCACGGCAGGCCUUCAGCGUGGCGGCCAGAGACGGCGUAUCAUCCCUGAACACCACAUUGUUUCGCCGCUUCCAGAGCCUCCGACGGAGAGGAGGACGAAGGCAUCCGAAGAGGUGUCGCCAACCGCGCCCGCGACGUUGAAGAGGUGAACUGCACCAACCGAGGCGUCCUCUGGAGACACGUCGAGACACCUCCAAAACUGCACCGCCAAGGGGCAGCCGAAGAUGAGGUGAUUGACGGUCUCCAGAACCGCCUCACAGCACAUGCACCCUGCUUGCUCCGUCGUCAGGAUGGAUUUGCGGAGGAGCACGUCACGUGUGUGGAUGCGCGAUAGGGACAACAACCACCCGAAGAACUUAAGACACGAGGGGCCUCGGUUCGACCAUAGGAAGGUGGCCGUCUCGGCCCCCACGCCGCCGAGGCGGUGCAGGGCAUACACGGCCCUGGCU